GUGAUCAUCUUGUUAAAGUUUAUUUUUUCCUGGCUGGAUUUAAAGAACUACACUGCCAUGUUGUAGGCUGCAUGUUGGGUGACCAUUGUGACAAGGAACUUAGGGUGGCCCCUAGGAGCUGAGGAUGGUCUCCAGUUGAACAUCAACAAGACACUGAAAUUCUCUGUCCUUUAACUGCAAGGAACUAAAUUUUGCCAACGAAAAUCAAUCUUUCUCCAGUUGAGUUUCAGAUGAGACUGUACUUCCAGGCAAAUCCUUUUUGCAAUCUUGUUCACCCCAAACAGAGGACUCAGCUAAGCCCUUCCCAGAUUCCAGAUACACAGAAAUUUUAAGAUGAGAAUUGUGCAUCAAUGUUCAAGUCCCAAGAGAUGUUAUCAGUCUGAACAGCCCAGUGAACAAGUAUUUGUGACUCUCCUUCCAAAUGAAAUGUUCUACAGAAAGGUGGAAGUGUGUUGAUUACUGGCAGGCUUCUCUGGUCAUCUUUCUCCCUCCACUUCUAUCAACAUGGAGUUUUGUACUCAGCAAAAUAAAAAUCUUUCAAAACUGAGCACCAAAACAAAACAAAACAAAAGAUAUUUUUAUAUUAAAAAACUGAGAGACUUUGUUGGUAGCAAAUUAAAACUACAAUAAAUGGUUAAAUGAAGGAAUAUGGUAUCAAUUGGAAAUGUGGAUUUCCACAAAGGAAUUGAGGACAUUUGAUAUUAUAAAAAGGUAGGUAAGUAUAAAAGAAGUUUAUUUUUCUUAUUUUUGAAAACCUUAAGUAAUAAUUGACUUUUUAAAUCAAAACUAGUAACAAUGUAUUGAGGAGUUUACAAUAUGGAGAAAAGGAGUAGCAAAAGACUGUUGUAAGAUUCCUAGAAUGUAUGUGAAGUAGAGUAUUAUUAUUUGAUUGUAGACUGUGAUAAGUUAAAGAUGUAGAGAGUAAAUCUUAGAGCAAUUACAAAAAUAUGAUGUAAGACAAAUAAAUAGUGGAGACAAAAUUGAAUAAUAAAAAAACUAUUAAAUUAUUUCAAAUUGUUCUCUUCAAGAGACCCAAAAAAAAAAAAAAAAAAAGAGAGAGAGAGAGAUGGGACAAAUGGAAACCA